rnacentral:tmRNA from 1 species
GGGGGCGUACUGGCUUCGACUCAUCGUUGGAAGCGCAGACGGCAUGUCGAGGAUGGUUCGUUGGCCUCGUUAAAAACCGGACCAAAAAACAAACGCAGACAACGAAGGUCUCGCUCUCGCGGCUUAAUUGACCGUGACGUUUGCCGUGGGACGCCUGCUACGGCGGCAAACGUGGACAGCAGGCUGGCGAAUCGGUGGAGCGACCACGCCGGUUCGUGAAUCGAUUUUGUGGAC